CGCGGGGUGGAGCAGCUCGGUAGCUCGCUGGGCUCAUAACCCAGAGGUCGCAGGUUCAAAUCCUGCCCCCGCCAC
rnacentral:tRNA from 1 species